GGGCUUGUGAGGUAGCUUGGAAACCUGCCGGGCUUCGAACCCGGAUCCGGGGGUUCAAAUCCCCCCGAGCCCGCCA
rnacentral:tRNA from 1 species